GUACUGAUGAAGAGUCCUAAACUAGGACGAAACAGCCGUCUAGUAC
rnacentral:hammerhead_ribozyme from 1 species